rnacentral:rRNA from 1 species
CAGUCAUGCUAGUGAGGAAUCAGCGCGAGGGACGCUCUCGUGUGCACUUCUUCGCUUGGCAGGUUAGCAUCAAUUUUGGUCGUCAUAAAAUUAUUGGGGUAAGGUGGCUCCCCUCGGGGAGUGUUAUAGACCCUAGUAGAUGUGAUGACCGGGAUUGAGGAUUGCAGCGAAUGCUACUUGGCUAGUCACCUGGAUUUCUGUUGAUCACCUCGCCGUUGAUAGCUUCGCUAACCUCGGUGGGAUCUGAUCGACUAGAUGUUAGGCUGAUCGUAAA